GAUUUUCCAAGUCUGCAAAAUUCACCAAAGAACAGUUCCCAACAGAUUAUAGAACCAGAAAGUCACAUUACAAAACACAAUAACCACUCUGGAGUGAAACCACCCUUUACAUAUGCAGAGAUUUGUAGGGAAUCUACAAAAGCAAACUGUGUCCCUAUAUGCAUUACACAAAGUGAGAGUAAGCCAUGUGCACCCAAAAGGGAAGCUCUAGUUGAACUAACAAACACAAAAAUAAAAGAAAACAUAGCACAUGUUUUGAAAGACUAUGCAGAUGGAAUAUCCAUCUUUCAUUUUCAGAUAAAAUAUAUUUUUAAGUUUAAGCAACCUCUUUCUCUCAAUGGAUUUUCUUCAGCGAAACAGUUCUUAAUGGCGAUGAAGGAUGUCGUCUCAGUACAAGGUCUGGGAGUGCAGGCAUUACUGUUUCCAGUAAUUUCUGAUGCAAUGGCAUCCAAUGAAAUUAACAACAAGCAUGGU